GGCGAGAUGGCCGAGCGGUCUAAGGCGCCAGACUAAGGUGGUUAUCCAAUCACUCAAAUGACCCACUCAGUUUCUGAGUUAUGUGAUAAUCUGGUCUUUCGAGGCGUGGGUUCGAAUCCCACUCUUGUCA